rnacentral:rRNA from 1 species
CCUACGGGUGGCAGCAGUAGGGAAUCUUUCACAAUGGGCGAAAGCCUGAUGGAGCAACGCCGCGUGCAGGAUGAAGGUCUUCGGGUUGUAAAAUGCUUUUAUAAGCGAGAAAUAUGAUGGUAACUUAUGAAUAAGGAUCGGCCAACAACGUGCCAGCAGCCGCGGUCAUACUUAGGAGCCGCGCAUUAUCCGGAGUGACUGGGUGUAAAGAGUUGCGUAGGUGGGAUAAUAAGUAGCUAGUGAAAUCUGUUGGCUCAAACAUUCAGACUAUUAGCGAAACUGUUAAGCUCGAGACCGAUAGAGGUAAGUGGAAUGUCUAGUGUAGGGGUGAAAUGCGUAGAUAUAAGAAAGAACACCAAUAGCGUAGGCAGGUUGCUGGGUCGAUUCUGACGCUGAGGCACGAAAGCGUGGGGAGCAAACGGGAUUAGAUACCCUAGUAGUC